GACGAACGCUGGCGGCGUGCCUAAUACAUGCAAGUAGAACGCUGAAGAGAGGAGCUUACUCUUCUUGGAUGAGUUGCGCACGGGUGAGUAACGCGUAGGUAACCUGCCUUGUAGCGGGGGAUAACUAUUGGAAACGAUAGCUAAUACCGCAUAACAAUGGAUGACACAUGUCAUUUAUUUGAAAGGGGCAAUUGCUCCACUACAAGAUGGACCUGCGUUGUAUUAGCUAGUAGGUGAGGUAAUGGCUCACCUAGGCGACGAUACAUAGCCGACCUGAGAGGGUGAUCGGCCACACUGGGACUGAGACACGGCCCAGACUCCUACGGGAGGCAGCAGUAGGGAAUCGUCGGCAAUGGGGGCAACCCUGACCGAGCAACGCCGCGUGAGGGAAGAAGGUUUUCGGAUCGUAAAGCUCGGUUGUAAGUCAAGAACGGGUGUGAGAGUGGAAAGUUCACACUGUGACGGUAGCUUACCAGAAAGGGACGGCUAACUACGUG
rnacentral:rRNA from 1 species